UCGCCACGUGGAGGAGUUGUGCACAAAGUUGUGCAAAUAGUUGUGUCACCAGAACUACUCUUUUCUUUUUAUUUAUUUUAUUUUAUUUAUUUAUUUGAAAAUACCAUUACAUUAUGUGCUGCCUGUUCCAACUCGUCACAAUUUUUAUCAAUUCUCAGUUUCUUCAGUCUGCCAAAAAUUAUUUUUUAUGAGAGGUUCAUGAACAUGUAUCCACGGUGAGAUUUUUCUUCCAGCAUUCUUGAAAUUAUUCCAGCUUGUCCCAAGGAAAAGCACUCGCAGUUAUAGGUCUAGGCUAUUUGAAGAUGACCACAUUUGCUCAAACCCUUUUUGUUCUGCUGCUUCCUUUUUAAAACCAAUGUAUUCCCAUUUACCAGUUGACUCUCUCUGUCUCUCUCUCUCAUGUUAGGUACUCUUAUCUUUGGCUAGUCCAUAGGUUGGUAUCACAUUGGCACCCGCCAAGGGUAGGUGCUAUAUUAGGCUGCCUUUCCUGGAUUUUGACAUAGCCUAAGCUUUGAUUUUGAGCUUCAUUAUCUGCCGACCCUCAUAAGAGCUAGAUGCGAUUAGUAUUGAGACUGGAACCUAACUAGUUUGUUGAGAUUUGGUAGAGCUGUUCCAUCAGCCAAGGACUUAUAAAUUCAGUGAGUCUUUAAAGAUGAUCGAAUUGACUUUUGCAUGCAAAUCUAUAGAGGCUGAAGAGACUGAAAUUUUAGCCAACUUAUUUCUCCCCAAAUGCGUUAAUGCCUUGUGGGAUUGAGUUAGCUCGAAACAGUCACUUUUCUUGAAUGCGUAUUUAAUUGGCUUGAACCAAAACACAGCCAAAUGUAUAAUCAUCUUUACUCCACAGUAUUCAACACAGUCCAUCACCCUCCUGACCAUCGCAUAGCUGACAAAAAACACUAUUCUCUUGCUUGAAGUCAUUUGAUCAUUGGAACCUUUUUGUAUUUCCAUUCUGUUUGAUUUAGUGGUGCAGUUGGAGCUUGGAGGGUCCUCGGGAGGAAGCAAGCCAAGGGCAAUGGUAGCUCCUUCAAAAUGUCGGUGUAUUGGCUAUGCGCAUGGCAUUGACCCACCAUAACACAUAAUAUCUGAUCAAACAGAGGCAGGGUGGUCUGGUUAACAACUCUUGCAGCGUGACAAUCGAAGAAGGUUCUUUCUUGAGCAAUGGAACACUUAUACAAACUGGUGGAUAUGGCAGUGGUUCUAGAUGAAUUCGAUACUUGUGACUGGAUGCUACAAUCAUACCUCUACAAACCAAAUACUAAAAAACAAGGCAGAAGGUUCUCAGUCCUCUACCAAAAUAGCUAGAAUGUUAUCAUUUAUCAGCCUUUCUCUUUACCUAAUGGGAGGGCCUUAGUUGCUGGUGAUAACUCUAACAAUAGGUACAGUUUCAAAAACGUAGGCUACCCAACUGAAACUUAGGUUACAAGCAUUUGUUCAACACUCACUGAUUGGCAAUACCAUAAUUGGAGUCUGGCUAAGGAUAAAACUUAGGUACAAUUCCAUAAGUGUUAUACUUUAAGUUUUCCAAAUUAAAUUCAACAAUAUGAUUACACUAAUUAAUGAGUCACGGUUGAAUUUAA